rnacentral:rRNA from 1 species
UACGAAGGGGGCUAGCGUUGCUCGGAAUUACUGGGCGUAAAGGGCGCGUAGGCGGAUGUCUAAGUUGGGGUGAAAUCCCGGGGCUCAACCUCGGAACCGCCUUCAAUACUGGAUAUCUUGAGUUCGGGAGAGGUGAGUGGAAUGCCGAGUGUAGAGGUGAAAUUCGUAGAUAUUCGGCGGAACACCAGUGGCGAAGGCGACUCACUGGCCCGAUACUGACGCUGAGGCGCGAAAGCGUGGGAGCAAACAGG